CCUACGGGAGGCAGCAGUGAGGAAUAUUGGUCAAUGGACGCGAGCCUGAACCAGCCAAGUAGCGUGAAGGAUGACUGCCCUACGGGUUGUAAACUUCUUUUAUAAAGGAAUAAAGUGAGGCACGUGUGCCUUUUUGCAUGUACUUUAUGAAUAAGGAUCGGCUAACUCCGUGCCAGCAGCCGCGGUAAUACGGAGGAUCCGAGCGUUAUCCGGAUUUAUUGGGUUUAAAGGGAGCGUAGAUGGGUUGUUAAGUCAGUUGUGAAAGUUUGCGGCUCAACCGGAAAAUUGCAAUUGAUACUGGCAGUCUUGAGUACAGUAGAGGUAGGCGGAAUUCGUGGUGUAGCGGUGAAAUGCGUAGAUAUCACGAAGAACACCGAUUGCGAAGGCAGCUUACUAAACUGCCACUGACACUGAGGCUCGAAAGUGUGGGUAGCAAACAGGAUUAGAUACCCUAGUAGUC
rnacentral:rRNA from 1 species